ensembl:snRNA U1 U1 spliceosomal RNA
AUACUUACCCGUCAGGUAAGAUACCAUAAUCACAACGGUGUUUUUUUCCAGGGUGAGGCUUAUCCAUUGCACUCCAGAUGUGCUGACCGCUGUGAUUUUCCCAAAUGUGGGAAACUCAACUGCACUAUUUGGGGGGGGGGGGCUGUGUUUGCGCUCUCCCCUG